CAGCCGCCGCGGUAAUUCGAAGGGGGCUAGCGUUGUUCGGAUUUACUGGGCGUAAAGGGCGCGUAGGCGGACUGAUAAGUCAGGGGUGAAAUCCCAAGGCUCAACCUUGGAACUGCCUUUGAUACUGUUUGUCUUGAGUUCGAGAGAGGUAAGUGGAACUGCGAGUGUAGAGGUGAAAUUCGUAGAUAUUCGCAAGAACACCAGUGGCGAAGGCGGCUUACUGGCUCGAAACUGACGCUGAGGCGCGAAAGCGUGGGGAGCAAACAGGAUUAGAUACCCCUGUAGUCCCUGUCUCUUAUAC
rnacentral:rRNA from 1 species